UCAGGAUGAACGCUUGCGGCGUGCUAAUACAUGCAAGUCGAGCGGUAAGGCUCCUGCAGUUUGCUUAAGCGGAGACAGGUGAUACGAAGUAUCACAUCGUCACCGAAGUAAUGAGCGAUCAUUACUCCUAAAACCUAGGCUAGGUUGAGGGGUGCUUAAGGAAAGUGCUGGAGUACACGAGCGGCGGACGGCUGAGUAACGCGUGGGAACGUACCCCAAAGUGAGGGAUAAGCACCAGAAAUGGUGUCUAAUACCGCAUGUGGUCUUCGGAUUAAAGCUUCGGCGCUUUGGGAACGGCCUGCGUAUGAUUAGCUUGUUGGUGAGGUAACGGCUCACCAAGGCGACGAUCAUUAGCUGGUCUGAGAGGAUGAUCAGCCAGACUGGGACUGAGAACGUGCCAGACUCCUACGGGAGGCAGCAGUAGGGAAUUUUCCACAAUGGACGAAAGUCUGAUGGAGCAACGCCGCGUGCAGGAUGAAUUGCCUUCGGGUUGUAAACUGCUUUUAUAUGUGACGAUUAUGACGGUAGCAUAUGAAUAAGGAUCGGCUAAUUCCGUGCCAGCAGCCGCGGUCAUACGGAAGAUCCAAGCGUUAUCCGGAAUUACUGGGCGUAAAGAGUUGCGUAGGUGGCAUAGUAAGUAGAUAGUGAAAGCCUGGGGCUCAACCCCUUACACAUUAUCUAAACUGCUAAGCUAGAGGGCGAGAGAGGUAGCUAGAAUUCCUAGUGUAGGAGUGAAAUCCGUAGAUAUUAGGAGGAAUACCGAUGGCGUAGGCAGGCUACUGGCUCGUCCCUGACACUAAGGCACGAAAGCGUGGGGAGCGACCGGGAUUAGAUACCCCGUUAGUCCACGCCGUAAACGAUGGAUGCUAGCUGUUAUGCGUAUCGACCCGCGUAGUAGCGAAGCUAACGCGUUAAGCAUCCCGCCUGUGGAGUACGAGCGCAAGCUUAAAACAUAAAGGAAUUGACGGGGACCCGCACAAGCGGUGGAGCGUGUUCUUUAAUUCGAUGGUAAGCGAAGAACCUUACCCAGGUUUGACAUCCUGCGAAGGUCUCCGAAAGGAGACUGUGCCUUGUGAGCGCAGUGACAGGUGUUGCAUGGCCGUCGUCAGCUCGUGUCGUGAGAUGUUUGGUUAAGUCCAUCAACGAGCGCAACCCUUGUAGUUAGUUGAAUUUUUCUAGCUAGACUGCCCCGGCAACGGGGAGGAAGGAGGGGAUGAUGUCAGGUCAGUAUUACCCUUACACCUGGGGCUAGAAACACGCUACAAUGGCCGGUACAAAGGGCUGCCAAGUCGCGAGACGGAGCAAAUCCCAUCAAAGCCGGUCCCAGUUCGGAUAGCAGGCUGAAACUCGCCUGCUUGA
rnacentral:rRNA from 1 species